GCUUGUCUCAAAGAUUAAGCCAUGCAUGUCUAAGUAUAAGCAAUUAUACCGCGAAACUGCGAAUGGCUCAUUAAAUCAGUUAUCGUUUAUUUGAUAGUACCUUACUACAUGGAUAACCGUGGUAAUUCUAGAGCUAAUACAUGCUAAAAAUCCCGACUUCGGAAGGGAUGUAUUUAUUAGAUUAAAAACCAAUGCCCUUCGGGGCUCUCUGGUGAUUCAUAAUAACUUCUCGAAUCGCACGGCCUUGCGCCGGCGAUGGUUCAUUCAAAUUUCUGCCCUAUCAACUUUCGACGGCUGGGUCUUGGCCAGCCGUGGUGACAACGGGUAACGGAGGGUUAGGGCUCGACCCCGGAGAAGGAGCCUGAGAAACGGCUACUACAUCCAAGGAAGGCAGCAGG
rnacentral:rRNA from 1 species